rnacentral:rRNA from 1 species
CCUACGGGUGGCAGCAGUGAGGAAUUUUGCUCAAUGCUCGUAAGAGUGACGCAGCGACGCCGCGUGAAUGACGAAUGCCUUCUGGGCUUAAAGUUCUUUCUACAUGGGAGAAAAUGCCUAUAAGUAUCUGUGUAUGUAUUGACGGUACCUGUAUAAGCAGCCCCGGCUAACUCCGUGCCAGCAGCCUCGGUAAUACGGAGGGGGCGAGCGUGGUUCUGAUUGACUGGGCGUAAAGAGCACGUAGGCUGUGUUGUAAGUCAUUAGUCAAAGACUAGAGCUCAACUUUAGUACUGCUAGUGAUACUAUAAUACUAGAGUAUCAGAGAGGAUUGCAGAAUUCCUGGUGUAGCGGUGAAAUGCGUAGAUAUCAGGAGGAAUACCGUUAGCGAAGGCGGCAAUCUGGCUGGAAACUGACGCUGAGGUGCGAAAGCGUGGGUAGCAAACAGGAUUAGAUACCCUUGUAGUC